rnacentral:rRNA from 1 species
CGCCCUUAGAGUUUGAUCCUGGCUCAGGAUAAACGCUGGCGGUGUGCUUAAUGCAUGCAAGUCGAACGAAGUUGAGAUUUCGGUUUCAACUUAGUGGCGAACGGGUGAGUAACACGUAAGCAACCUGUCCCGAAGUGGGGAAUAACUCCGGGAAACCGGAGCUAAUACCGCAUACGAUAGUUGAGUUUAAGCUUGAUUAUGAAAGCCGUAAGCGCGUUUGGGAGGGGCUUGCGUCCUAUCAGGUAGUUGGUGAGGUAACGGCCCACCAAGCCUAUGACGGGUAGCUGGUCUGAGAGGACGGUCAGCCACACGGGGACUGAGAUACGGCCCCGACUCCUACGGGAGGCAGCAGCAGGGAAUCUUGCGCAAUGGGCGAAAGCCUGACGCAGCAACACCGCGUGGGGGAUGAAGGCUCACGGGUCGUAAACCCCUUUUCUCAGGGACGAAAAAAAUGACGGUACUUGAGGAAUAAGCAUCGGCCAACUACGUGCCAGCAGCCGCGGUAAUACGUAGGAUGCAAGCGUUAUCCGGAUUUACUGGGCGUAAAGAGCGCGCGGGCGGUCCUUUAAGUUAGGUGUGAAAACUCUCAGCUUAACUGAGAGAUGUCAUCUAAUACUGGGGGGCUUGAGGGCAGCAGAGGAAGAUGGAAUUCCCGGUGUAGUGGUGAAAUGCGUAGAUAUCGGGAGGAACACCAGUGGCGAAGGCGGUCUUCUGGGCUGUACCUGACGCUGAGGCGCGAAAGCGUGGGGAGCAAACAGGAUUAGAUACCCUGGUAGUCAAGGGC